AGAAAAAUUAGUUUAAUUAAAACAUUGCUUUGUCAAAGCAAAAAUAUAAUAAAUUGUUAUAUUUUUCUA
rnacentral:tRNA from 1 species